AAUUGAGAACGUCCCGGUCACGGAACGCGCAUCAAUAAACUACUUCUCUCACAUAAGCUUAAAAACAACAGCCAUAAAAUACAAAUAAAGCACAUUGCCUAAAACCUAGCUCCUAAGCCACUGCCUCAACCCUGCUGAUCCACACAUGUAGGUCUAACCCCUACACCAUAAAUUGGUGCACCGGGUUGUAAACAACAAACCCGGUAAGCUUAAAAAGCUCGUAUGAGUAACACUCAAAAUAAAACUCAACAAUUCCAACAUCACAUAAGAUAACACUGGAAAUUCCUGCAUUAAUAACUUAGUUCAGGAAUCACCUAAAAAGCAAGAGAAUUCAAUAGAAAUAAUGAAGAGAACACAACAAUUCAAAAUCACUCAAAAUCAUAAAUGAAACAAAUAAUUAAAAGGAAACGCAACAAAUCACAAUCAAACAAAUCAUAAUGAAAUCCAACAACAAAAAACAUAGUUCAGGAAUUACUUAAAACAAGAAAUUUAAAUGACAACAUAUAAGAACAUCACACAAUCAUUUCUCAACCUUUACUUAUGUGUUCGUCAACGCAUAGUCAUCCCUCAUAAGUAACUAAACAAACUCGUACUCAUGGGUUCGUCAACACAUAGUCAUCCCCCAUGAAGUACCGACAGACUAGAGCUCUAUACUGACCGUAACCAAUCACCCGGCCAAGGCUUGGUUCCCGGUCCACCACGAAGGCUCCUAAUCUAAUGCACACAGUCACCACUAAGGCACACAUUCAAAUACUCUCCCAUCAUAACACUUAUCAAAUCACAAAAUAAUAAUAUCAUCAUAACCGUAACCAAUCACCGAUUAAAGGCUUGGAACCUGGUUUGACUAUUUAAACAUCAAUUCACAAUAUAAAAAAAAUGUCAUCAACAACAACACAACAGCACUUCAUAAAUUAUAUCUUUCCAUCUAGAUAUAUUUAUAUACACAAAGACAUAGAUAUUCCCACUAGAAUAAUCUAUCAACAACCAUAUUUCAACAUCACAAUAUCACAUGAUCGGAAGUCCUUUUGAAAGGUUAUUAUUAACAGGAAACUUGUUUUCACUUACCAUGAGCCGUUGACGAUCAAGUUCAUUUAUAUUUAAAAACAAAGUCAUUUUCCUUCAAGGACAACUUCACAAUUAAUAAUAAUAAACUAUAAAGUAAACUCGGUUCUUUUAUGAACAAUGUGAGAUUUACUCACAAUAUAAUAAUAUCAUCAUCAUAAUCAUCAUUAAAAUCAUUAUCAUAAUCAUCAUCAUAAUAAUUAUCAUCAUCAACAUUUCCAUCAUCAUCAUCAUCAAAAUCAUCAUAAUACUUAUCAUCAUUAUCAUCAUCAUGAUAAUUAUAAAUGAUUGGUGCCAAAGUGGACCUUAGUGAGAUUUUACUCACCUAAAAAUCCCGCUGCGUCUUUACAAAAGAAACUCAUGAACCAAGCUCAACACACUUCACAAAUCACCUAUAAUUACACAAUUAAUAAUUUAAUAACCACUUAAACACAAAGAACAUUUCACCCUUAACAAGCCUUAACCCAUGAUUUGCCCAAAAAGACAACCUUCUUCCGAGACCUCCCAAGGUCAUCGAACACUUAACCACACUCCCCCGCUACCUAACUUUGGAUUCUCAUAGCUCACACUUCGCACAAGUCUACUAUAACAUAGAAUCUAACAAGCAAAACUUACUCAAACUUGACCUAAUCUCAUAAUAUACCAACAUGCUCGCAUCAACAAGAACUAGCUAACCAAAGCAACUAAACCUACACACCCUGCCCGACGCGCCACCACGAGCGGCGGCGAGUGGGCCCCACGCGCCACCCCAACACCUUCAACAACUCAACAAACUUCCAACAGCAAACUUGAACAUUACUACAAGGGGGACACUUUUCAUACCUGAAGGUUCAACUAGUUCGGCCGGAAAUCACCAGAAACUCGUCGGAAAGUUUGGAAUCCACCACCGCCACUCUCCGUCGUGAGUCGCGCUUCAAGGCCACCAGAAGUCGGACCAGGACACCAAGGGGCUUCUAUCCCGACUGUUUCCAAGCCGCGUCGCCGGAGGUGGGAAUCCCGACCGGUCUCCAAGCCGAACUUUCGAGCUUCGGAACCCACGCACCACUAAAAAUCGGCGCAAGUCACCACCACAGGGCAGCUCGCACGGAGGAAAGGAAGAGAACCCGACCGGUUUCAGCGUCUAGGUAGGUCGGAGGUGGCCGGAAAAGCCAGGUCGGGUCAGGCGGGUUCGGGUCGGGUCAGGCGGAAAUCUCAGAGUGAAGGUGGCAUGAGAGAGAGAGAGAAGAGAGGAGGGAUGGUUUCCGGAAAUGAAAGGAAACCCUAAACUUUUGUUAUUUAACCCAAAAUUUUCGUAAAGCCACGAAGACCAUAACUUUCUCAUACGAAGUCCGUUUUACGCAUGCUACGUGUCUACGAACUCCUAUCGUCGUGCUCUACAACUUCCGUGAAGGAAGUUUUCCGAGAAACCCAACAGAUUAAAAAGUCAACUCUUGACUCUUCAAAAUAAAGCAUUUUCAAGGAAAUAAAAACUCGACUACUUCCAGUCCACUCACCAAACCAUAAAUCCAUACAACUCUUACUUAAAUAAUUUCCAAAAUAAUAUUAGAAACUAAUAUCAAAUUUCCGGGGUAUUACAAAUAUGUAUAAAGGCACUGUUAUUGCUCAGUGAGUUGGGGGAGGGGAGUGAGAAAGAAAGUUAUGGUGGUGUUUCUUGUGGCCUGUGGGUAUUUAAUAUUUCCUAUAAAUUCAAUUUGGUACAGGAAUUAACAUUAUGGUGGUGGGUAAAUGGCUUUGGGUUUGGUAAGUGAAUUGUAGUUGAUAUAGCAAUAGGUUAAUGAUUUUUUGAAACCAAAUUCAUAACCCCAACACUUCUUAUCUGAACCCAGAGCCAACAAAUCUUGAAAUAAAGGCUAGUUUAAAAAAGAGAUUGGAAUCACAAAUCGCUUCUUCUGACUUUCUCCCACGUAUACUGCAAAAAAGCCUUACGGGAUUGAAGCUGUCUCAGAUCAAUAACCAACCCAGCUAAGAAGCACCUCUUAUGCUUAUGCUAUUCACGAUAUGAACCCUAAUCACAAACCGAUUUCAGUACCACAAAACCAAAGAAGCAAUCAGAGUCUCAGUUUUACAUCGACCCAUUCUGAUAAAACCAUAACAGAAACCAAAUUCAUGUUACAAUCGGUGAAAAAUUGCUCAAAUGUUCUCAAACAAAUUCAAACUCAUUACAUCAUUCCAUUUGAUGAUCAGAAUUUGAAGAAAAAAAGAAGAUAAAGAGAGAAAUCGAGGAAAACUAACCAAAUCUGGACCGAAGAAGAGCUUUUGCAGAGAGAUGAACAAAGAAGAUAGAGAGGAAGUGACACAGGUGAUAAGCUUUUGCAGACGUUUUGAGCUUUUGUAGUUUUCACGCACCAAAUUUUUUUUAGAACCCAAGCAAACACUAAAUCCUUUUUGGUUGAAGACCGAAAAUUCUUCUACGCAUCAAGGUGCAAGUGAACUGAACGACUAAUAUACAAUAUUUUGAUUCGGUCAUCUACGUCGCACUACAUGCAUAUAUACUAAUACCAUUAAUAAAAUUAAAACCCAAAAAAUAGUCCCAAGUGUUUCCAACUAAGGAGGUGAUAAACACUAGGUCGAAAAAGAUUUACUUUUAUUAUGGGCGUUUAAUUUGAUCGGAUCAAAAAUAAAAAUGAAAUGAAGAAAUUUAGAGUCUCUAAUCUUCAUUUGAUCUUGUCAUUCAACGAUUUGAGUACUUACACAUCAAUGGUGUAAGUGCACCGUGGUGUGUAAAAUCUGUUUCGGUUGAAGACAUGGCCGGAUGACAUAGCGAGUACCAUGCAAAUACCAAUACGUGGCUUAAUCAUGUGCAUGGGCCAAGGGGUCAGGACAUUGUUCACGUGAACAGUAAUCCCCCUCUCCGUUUAAUAUAUACAUAUAGAGAUGUGACUGCAGACUUUUAUAUGCGCUAUUGCUAGUUAUUUAUAAAAGUGAAACUUUUAUGUACUAAGCUCAGCUAGUUUCUAGAAGACAAGGUGGUAUGUUGCAAAUACUGAUGGAAAAAGGUGUAAUUGUUAUAAACUAAAAUUGAGAUAGAGAGAAAAGAGAGAACAUAAUGAAGGAGGAAGAAGUGUCUAUUUCAUUCUCAUUAGGCUCUUUUAUAUAGGAGUAUGAUUUACAUCAUAAGGACAUAAUUAAUGAGUAUUUACAAAGACAUCCACAUAUAUUAUAAUAUUUACAACACUCCCCCUUGAAUGUCCACAAAUGAAUGAUAUGGUAUUGGACGCGCUUAUUUGUUGCCUCGUUAAAAUCCUUGCCAGGUAAUAAAAACCCUGUGAGAAAAAACAACCCUGGUCAAAGGAGAAAAAGAGUGCAACGUGCAUAUGUCCUAGAUAACAUACUUCUGGAUGCUCCCUCUAAUGAGAUUCUCCCCAUGAUUGUUGUAAGCUUUAUGUACCGUAAAUAACGGUUUGUUUUGUCUAUCAUUGAAGUGAGAUUUUGUUCGUUUUGCAUACAGGGGCUCAUCACAAGAUUUUCAUACCUGUAAAGUGAAAGCAACACCAACAGAGCUAUAUAAUUUAAUAAGUCUUACCUCAUUUACUAAUGUUAGAAACAACAUUACAUGUUCAAAUUUAUACACUAUGUAACAGCUAAACAACAUAAGCUAAUUGACACAUUUAACUAUGUAUAGUUUAAUACAUUAGAAAACAUCAUGACAUAUCUAGCCAUACACAUCAAUAUAUUUGUGUACUGAUAGGUUAUAUAUAAGCUCUUCAGGAGCUCCAAGUAAUUCAUAACUUCGCGAAAGUUAGAAUAUGUAGCAACAUAAUCCGAAUUCAAUUUUGCAGUCCAAUCAUAAUACUCAUUGAGGAAAUUUUGAUCACGUUAACUAUAACAGAAUGAAUAUAUAUGAGCUAGCUUUAGACUAUCGAUUGCAUGAGUAAACUUUAGUUUAACAGCCCAGCAUAACGAGAUAUGCUCGCCUUUGGGCAUCCCCUUCAUGGCUUUCUUCUUGGGUUCCAACCCAAGACACGUCUCACUAAUGGGAGUUGUGUUUGCAUGUAUAAGGCAUAUUAAUUACGUCAUUUCCCUUAGGCGGUAAUGAAUCUCAUAUUCAGACUUUCUCAAGUAUUCAUGGAUCGAUUUACAUUCGAAUCAUUCAUGUACUUGGAUCUUUAAGGAUUUGAUAAGCGAUACGCUUAUAAUGACGCUUUACUUUUGGGAUUUUGCUUUUAACAAAGUCUUUUAAGAUCCUCAUAAUAUACGAUGACAACUGCCGUGAGUCUCUUGUCAAUAUCUAUAUGUAACACCGUACUUACAGAAAAUUGUCACAUAUAAGGAAUGAUAUUCGUAAUCCUCUCUUGUAGACAUUGUGCCAUAGUGAUUUAUUUUCACUGUGAUUAAUACCCUUUUGUAUCAUGUAGGGUUAAAGGUCUAAAUAUCUUAUCACGUUUUAAAUAUUCAGUUUAAUCGGAAUUGCCUCUAUCCAGUUUGGCCAAUAAUAUGCUAUGUCGACAUUCAUAAUGAAACGUGGUAUUGCAUCAUACAGUCCUUAAUGGUCUUUGGUAGCUACCAUAUGUAAAUUUUCAUCGAUGAUCAUCAUUCAUAAAUCCCACACAUUCUUAUAUGUAUGCAUUAGCUACUAUGAGCUUAUUGAUAUUGGAUACCCAUGCCACUUCUGGAGUAAAUAUUGUCACUUCUACGACAAACAUCUCUCAUAAAUGAAUUAUAUCUAGCGAAUAUGGAUCUAUAUUCAUAAUAUCAUAAAACAUUAUAGGACUUGUAUAAUCUUUUAUUUUCAGGAGCUUAAAACUUUAGACCUGGUGGAUACAUUCCACUCAAAUUCACGCCGCUAUUCAAAUGACAGUAGUCUUUUCUCUCCCCCUAACAGUGGGAAGACUGUCCUAUUAUGACCAUGCAUAAAAAAUGCGUUUAAAUGUCUAUCACUUCUUUUCGAGUGAAGAUGUCCAUUGGUUGGUGGCGAACCCAAACCAAGUUUAAGGUCAAAAACAUUAAAUUCAUGAGUAUCAACCAUAUUGAUGUAUUGUUGUAUCACCAAGAUAUCAUCCUCUGAUGGUGUAUUUUUAACCUUUGUAUGUGUAAUUGACACGACCCACCCCGAAUUUCACCUUGGAACUCGGAGUAAGUCGUGCGGGGACCACCUCCAAGGAAAAUUUACCGAAAAGAUUGGUAAAACCUCCCUUGGAAAUUGACAACCCUAACCCGAAAAAUUUCCAAUUCACACUCUUACUACAACACGUCCAAAAAAUAUCACACAAUUAUCCAGCUAAUAAAAGCAAAUAUUAUCCUUCAGAAAUUCUAAACAUAAAGUCAACCGACCGAGCACACCACCGAAAUAAUAUACAAUAAUCCCAAAGUAUUCAGAGCUACUAGACACUAGCGGAAGCAAGAAAACACUAGUAGGUUAAACAGGUAACCUACUGAUGAAAACUGGCGGAAAAGCGGGUAACUAUGCCUCGUCUCUUACUAGGUCCAACCCGAACUCUGCAGACUGGGCAUUUUAAAACGAAGAGCCCAGAGGAAAACAUGUGGAACAGUUAGAGUGAGUGGACAAAAAUAAAUUAAAUAAAAAUAUUUCAUUAUGCUUCCCCAAUUUAAUUUCUCAAUAAAAUAAUACUGCAUGCAAUCGCUCAAAAGCGCUCAACUCAAAACCUGGCAACUUCACGACCAGCACCGGCUAGUCUCCAAAACUUAAUAAAAUACAGCCUCUCAGGCUAAAUUAUAUAUAAACAUAUAUAAGUGUAUGUAUUUACACUCGUCAGACUCCUUGUAUGAAUUCUAAGAACAAAUUAGAAAAAAAUAAAAAUUCAUACAAGGCUACUACGCUUGCGUCUAACGCUCAUGUCACACCAUAAUGGAAUUGUACCUCAGUAUAGCGGAAAAAGCACGAGUGUAUAUACGUGUGGACUCCCUAUAUGAAAACCUAAAUAAACCAAAUAAGAAAAUAGUUUUCAUAUAGGGUUACUACGCUUGUGUCUAACACUCACGUCACACCAUAAUGGUAUUUUACCUCAUUAUGGCGGAUCAAACACGUAUGGCUAGCUAGCAUUUAUAUAUACAUACUAUCCUCAUAAACAUCCAAUAAACAUAUCCACCGAAAAUCUCAUUUUCGGGAUCUCUCCAAAUGAGGAAAAUUGCCAAAUAUCCGAGAAAUAAAUAAAUCUCAGGAAAAGAAAUAAAUGAUCAACAAAUAAUUCAUCGCAUGCUUUUCAAUUAAAAUAAAGGUCCACUCACAAAUUAGGCCUAAGCCUGAUGACGCUCCGAGGCUUUCUCUGCUCGGGCUCCUCUCGUCUUAUUCCAAAUAUAUAAUUAAUUUCCCACCAAAAAUCCAAUAAUUAAACAAAAUGGGCAAAAUUAAACGUGAGCCUCCCACACACUCAUCAUUGCCCAAAUUCGCCAUUCUUAACUCAAUACGGCUCAAACUUCGCCGAACAUACCGGCAGCCGUAAAAACAACUUCCCAUAGAAUACGACUUAAAUCCUACGGCCGGAUUCUACAUUAAUUAACCGCCAAAAAUACUAAACUUCGGAAAUUCACAAACCUAUCCAAAACUCAUCCAAAAAUUCCAUAACUCACUUCAAUAAACUCCCCUUAAUAUUCCAAAUCUAAAAACAUUAAAAUCUCCCAAACAGCUCCGGCUCCACCGGCAACGGCGGCCGGAGGCCGAUUCCGGCGACCUCCAAUUCCUAUGAAAUUUUAACAGCAUCUUCCUCUCAUCAUGCUCUACAACUUUCCUAACUAGCACAAACCCAAAAUCCAAGCCUAGCUAUGCCAAUCGAACAAAAACAUCAAAAACGCCCUAGAGCUUCCACCUCAAAUUUCUCCUUACCUGGAGCAAACCGGAGUGAGUCCUUUUAGGGCAAGGCAGCUGGGUUAGAGACCUACAAAACCGUACCAUGCUUGUCCGGAUUGGUGGCCGGAGGAGGGAGUUCCGGCAAAAAGCUUCCCGGCGUUUCCGGCGAGUUUUCUCUUCUUCCGGCGGGCUAACGGCUCGGGGGCUAGGCCGGGGAGGGAGAGGAGGUGAUGGGGGUCCGAACUGGGGUGGAGUGGUGGCUGGUGGCUGGCCGGACGGCGGCAGUUGGCAGCUGGAAGUUUCCGGUGAAGGGAGAGAGAGCACGAGAGGGAGAAGGAAGAGAAAAGAGAGAAGAAGAGAAAGAGAGGAAAUGGGUUGGGCCUCUCCAACCGGUCCAACUCCACUAUCAUACCCAACUCCCACAAAAUAAAACACCCCGAAAAAUAAUACCCGAAUAAAAAUUACCUUUUACUGGCUAAAAUUUACCAUUUUUACCAUCGUCAUAUUUUCCUCAUACGAAUAAUCCUCCGCACAUAAUCGUCCCCGAAACCCCUCUAGGGACCAAUUAAACUAUUAACUCAAUGACGGAGACGGUAAAAUUCUUAUUAUAAACAAGCUAGUAAAUAAGGUAAAAAUAUAAGAGUCGGGAUGUGACAGUAAUAGUAUAGCCGCCAUAUUAGGAACUCGGACAUUUUUAAUGACAUUCUCGUCAGGAGAACCAUGUCACUUAGAUACACAUUCUUUCCACAUAUCAAAUGAGGUCAAGGUUGUUUUGUUAAUAUGGUUAGUCUCAUAGACUUUAACCCAAGCAAAUGUUUUUGCGCUAACAUAUAGUUUUGUCAUCACUAGCUUUAAUAAAUCACUAGCUGAGAUAUUUAUCCAGCACAAAAUGAGACAGUAGGUAAAUAUCCUACUAGUUAAGGCUAACAACUCAUGUCAUUCUUCAAGAACAAUUGUUCUCCCCCUCGUAACAAGAGGAGUGUCCAAGCCUGGGAGUGUCUCAUUAAGGUGAUAAACCAAAACAGAUAUGCGGCAAAUGAACAAUUUGCUUAGAGUAGCGUUAGCUAGCGGUCAUCAAGAUUUGUUACUGAUUUCAAGUAACACUUUAUGUAAAAUAUGAUAUAACUAAUCAUGUGUAAAAUAUGACAUAACUAGUCAUGUCAAAAUAAGGUAUAUUCUGUUCAAUGAACUUUUGGUUCAUGACAUUAUGUGUCUCAUUUUUUUGUAGAAUUUGACACGUAAUAGGCCGCAUAGCGAGAUACUGUGUGCUUUGGACCUCGCCUCACAAUUUUGUUCUUGGGUUGCAACCCAAAAUCCAUCACAAUAUGGGGAGGUAUGUUUGCAACAUGUUAGACACAUCUCCUACCCUAUCUCGAGUGAGAUGGGAUCUCACAUCACAUUAUGUGUUAUAUAUUCUAGAGACAUACUAGGGGCAUUUAAUAUAAAGAGGGGAUAAUAUGUGCUCUUCCGGAGCCAUCAUUCAUAUAUGUAAUUGAAGCUUCAAGCUCGAUUUUAUAAUGUUAGAACUACAGGUUCUCAGAAUGUUAACUUCAAGUUAACUGUUUCUCGAAACAUCAGGCUCGAGUAACUCUAGUGAAACUUUUAAUUCAUUGAUAUUUUAUACUUAAAACUUCAGGUUUGAGUUUCUACUGUUAGAACCAAGGUAACUCUUAUGAAAUUUUGAAAAAUAUUUCACUCAAAAUUUAUAUGUUUGAGAUAUAGGACUGUUAGCCCUUAUGAGUAACAAUAAAUUUUAGAAGAGAAAAAUAAUUAACAAACUCUAAAAUGGUAAGGAACAAGUAUAAAUAAAAUGUGACAAUGGAAACUUCUGAUUCCAUAAGAAGUGCAAGAACUUCUGGUCUAGUUGCCUUCAUGAAUAUGAUAAUCUUGUUUCUCUCCUCUAAUUUCACAAUAACAUUGCAUCAAAAUAAAGAGGAGCUUCAGGUCCUCAUAUAAUUAGGGAUCACAAGAUGUGGUUUCGAUGAUCAUUUAACUAUGAGGAACUUCUGGUCCUCGUUAAUUGCAUAAGUUUUGUGAAACUUCAUAUCACAAUUUUCAUUAGAUCAUUCUUAAGGAACUUCAGGCCUCUAUAGUUCAAUCAAGAGACAUCAUGUCUCAAUAUAUCUAUGAACAUAAAAUGCACAAAUAAAUAAUGAUAUUGCAUAAGAGGGUGUAAUUAUUAGCUUUCAUUGAGAACAAUCUUGACAAGAGUUGUCGCUUGACAAAAUUAUAUUUUUUGUCAAUAAUGGAUGACCAUUGGAAUUUGCAAGUAUUCUACACAUCAUUGUAGAUAUGGUGUGACAUAAAUAGUCAUGCCAAAGCAUAAAUGUAUUGUUAUCCUUAAACUUCUGGUUCAUGACAUGUUACGUCUAAAUAGACUUAAAUGCCGGUGUAAUAUAAAUCAGAUGAUAGACCAAACAAACUUUCCAAUAUCCGCUUUUGGCUCCAAACAUUGAAAUUAAUGUAAAGAUAUUCCACAUUCGUGUCAUUUUUGGCCUUUCCAUGAAAUCCAUUCAAACAAAUAUUCUUGAAGCUUAGGAAAUUCCUUCUUGGUCUAGGAGAUUACAAGGACUAUUUAAUGGACAAUUGUGUUCUAUUUGGAAGACUAAGAGCCUUUAACCAAAUUUGGCAGUUCCAGAUAUGGUGGUCACAUUAGUUUAAGAAGGCACUAAGAUGGAGAAAUAUUUUUGAUCACGGAGGAUUGUAUGUGUGGUGGCAUUGUCCGCAAGACAAAUAUCUUCCCCAUUUAUAAGUUGAGAGUGUUCAUGAUCUUUUUUCAUACGUUCAUAAUAAAAUGAACAUAGAUAAGUAACAAUGAAUAUAUUAUCGCAGUAAAUAGAAAUUAAAUGUAAUAAUACGAUAACUAUCAUCAAUGAAUAGGCACAGAAUAGAUAUAUAUAUAUAUAUAUAUAUAUAGAGAAAGGAUAUGAAGCGGACGUCCGCACUUUAGUGCGGACGUCCGUCCAUUCUCCACCCUCCGGCGCUGGCGACAGCGCGCCUCCACCCCAGAAGACUCCAGCAGCGUCCCCGAUCACUUUCCCUCCCCGGUGAGUCCGUUCUUUUCCAGUUUUCCGACGAGAUCACCCAAAACUUCAAACAAAGUCGAUCUCGCCGGAAAACUAGAAAUAAAUGGACUCGCCGGGGAGGGAAAGUGGUCGGGGACGCUGCUGAAGUCUUCUGGGGUGGAGGCGUGCCUUCGCCAGCGCCGGAGGGUGGAGAACGAACGGACGUCCGCACUUUAAGCCGAGUGCGGACGUCCGCUUCAUAUCCUUCCUGUAUAUAUAUGUAUAUAUAUAUAUAUAACUGUUUGUAUAUAUAUAAUUUGUAGACAUAUUUAUUACUUAAAUGCUUAUUAAAUGGUGCACAGAGUGGUCAAAACUAACUUUUGAUUGUCAAAUUUAUGACUAACAGUAUUUGGAAUGUAAAGUAAUCAACUAACCAUAAUCAUUCAUAAUAAUGACCUCAAAAUUAGUCAUGUUAACUGUCAAAGAAUUUGAAACAGUUGCAUCAUUAAUUCAAUAUGUAUUAAUUGCAAUAAUAAACAUAUUAAUCAUAUGGAAAUGUGUGUCACAUAUUAAGCAUAUUAAAUUUAAUUGUAUUUAUAAUAGAAUUCUAAACAAACGGUUGGUCAACAUUAUACCCAAAAAAAAUGUAUAUGUAUCAAUUGUAAAUAAUAACAUAACAUAAUAUAUAUCAUGUGAAACAAUGGAUAACAGAUACAUGAGAAUCCAAAUUUUACAUUGUGUGGUUACUAUAGCCAUAUCAGAAGACGCAAAUGCGUGUAUUCAUUGCUCUUGGUAGAAUAAUGAUUCCCAAUGUCGCAUAUUGAACAUAUGUUCCAAAGUUCCAUAAAAUUAUCCAUAGAAAUGCAUGGAAUUGCACCAUGAUAUUGCAAAACUCAUCCAAACAAAUGGGAAUAAGAACUAUAAAUUAUUUAUCUAAAUCAAUAAUAUACAACCCACCUAUAAUCUCAUAGAUCAUGGUUCAUGGUUUUAAGCAAUAAUCUUGCAUCGAUCAUAGACCACAUCAAUCAUCAUGGAUCCAAUCAUGCUGUUUAGAAUUUCAUGUUCAUGAGAAAGAAAUAUCAAUAUUGAAACUUCAGGUUCGAAUUUUGUGAACAAUGGAUCACAUGUACAUGUACAAAACUUCAGGUUUAUGCAAACAAUUAGAAUUGCAAGUCUAAUGUAAUAUUUGAACUUUAGGUUCAUAAUCUCGAAAAAUUUUUGGUUCAAGUAUUAUUAGUGAAACUUCUGGCUUACUAAUAUAAGCAAUUGUAAACAUAGAAUUGAUCAAUAUAAAUAAAGUAUAUGUGUAGACAAGAUAUAAUCAAAACAAAAAUGAACUCAUAGAUCGUAAGUAUGAAUAGUAAGCAACAAAAGUUGCACCAAUAUCUUAUAGAUCAUCAUGGAGUUUAUGUAACGGAAUGAGCGAUAUCGUGCUGAUAACGUGUUAUAAAUUAAGAUUGAGACAGAGAGAAAAGAGAGAACAUAAUGAAAAAGGAGGAAAAAGUGUCUCUUUCAUUCGCAUUAGACUCCUUUAUAUAAAAGUAUGAUUUACAUCGUAAGGACAUAACUAAUGAGUAUUUAUAAAAAUAUCCACAUAUAUUAUAAUAUUUACAACGGUAACCGUAAAAAGAAAAAAUGUGGGUUUGGCAGCGAAAAAGACGUUGGAAUCUGGGAAGGUGGAUUGUGACCGAUUAUUCUGAAUGGAACUAAAUUUUUUUGGGAGUUUCGGGCAAAGCAGCUGUGUUUCGAAACAGAUCGUGUUACAUAACAUUGUUUGUAAUUUUGUCAAAAAAAAAAAAAACUCAAAAAAUAAAGAAGAAACAGAGAGACGCCGAGAGAGGGAGAGAGAGAGGGGAGGAGGAUGAUGGAGAUGUGAUUUUGAGCAUUCAUCUCUUCUCUGUGCGUUAUCGAUCUCAUAUCAUUCGCUUCACCUCUCACCCAACACCACCCCAAAAAUGAUCGCCUGAUUCUUGCGGCGGUGUUUGGGAAUCCAAUUCCUUCAUUUCUAAAAAGAAGAAUAGUAUUAUUAUUUCCACGAUGUUGGGUAGGAAAACCAGCCAAGUCUGUGAUUCUUCCUCCUCCAAUGGCGACUCUCCCGAGUCCCACCAAGAAAGGCUCUACCGAGUCUGGAAGGGCAACAACGUAAGCAUUAAUUUUAAAAUUUUUGUUUUGUUGAAUGUGGAUUUUCAAUGUUCGGUUAUGAAGAUUGAAUUUUUUUGAGUUGUUGUCAGAAAUUUUUGUGUGGUGGAAGAUUAGUGUUUGGUCAUGAUGGCGCAUCACUCUAUUUAACUAGCUUCUUGAUCGGAUGUCCUGCACUCACAUUCUGCAUAAGAAUGCUUGUCAUCAGACAUCAAGCACAUUAUGACUAUCCUGUAUUCACUGCAGGCCUUCUCCUCACUGUUUUGGUUGGUAAUUUGAAUCGAAUUCUUUCUUUAUUUACUUCUUCUCUUUCUUUCUUUAUAUUCAUUUCUUCUUCCUUAGUUCAAAUUUUCAUACUAAUUACUAUGCAGGAUUUUAUUUUUCUCUUCCUCACGUCUGGUAGAGAUCCGGGUAUAAUUCCGAGGAAUUCAAGACCGCCUGAAUCAGAUGGGGUUUGCGAAUCUACGCCAUCAAUGGAGUGGAUCAAUAACAAAGGUUCCAGUAUGAAAUUACCCCGAAUUAAGGAUGUACAAGUCAAUGGCCAUACAGUGAAGGUCAAGUUUUGCGAUACUUGUUUGUUGUAUCGUCCACCGCGCGCUUCUCAUUGUUCCAUAUGCAACAACUGUGUUCAGAAGUUCGAUCACCAUUGUCCAUGGGUUGGUCAGUGUAUUGGAUUAGUAAGUUACCUUUACCACUACCAACUAGGUUAUACAUACAUAUAAGCUUGCAACUUAUUUCUAUUUCUCUUAAUUACUAUUCUCUCAUUACAUUUCCAAGUGCUUAGUAUAAUAUUAGUAUCUAUGUCUCAUUUCAGUGGCUAGAAUUAUGAUUUUUUUUGGGUAAGCGUAGAGGGACUAAAUCAUUGCUCCUCCACGAAAAUUUAUUGAUAAGAGAAUAAAAGUACAAGAGGGUUAGAGGACUAGGCAGGGCUAGGCCAAAGCCAACCAUGAGAUAACAGUGAACACUACUACAAGAAUGCAGAACUAGCCAGGCUACACAAUCAAAACACCAAACAACCAGAAAUAAAAUGUACAUGUAACAAAGCAAUCAAAACGAACCAAAGACAUAAGCAGAACGAUCAACAUCUUCGAAAUGUAACCGUGGAUGCCAAAUCAUUGUUAAAGCUCUGCAGGAGAAAGGCAGGUUCUUCCCACCAACAAGCCCCUACCAUAUUAGCUCCAUAAUUAGCUAAGGCAUCUGCAAUUUCCUUCCCGAAACACAUGGGUCAGUCUAACAUUCAUUUGCUUCGUUGGCUGAAUCACAUUCCUCCAUUGGAUUUGUAACCUCCAAGGAAUAGUGUGGCUUAUGGAAGGAGUGAACUGUGACCUAAAGCAAAAUCAGUUUCAACCCAUAAAUUAUGCCACCCUUUUGACCAGGCAAUUGUCAAAGCUUCAAUAAACUAUUUUAUGAUUUCCUUAUGAAGAAAUUAAUUGUAUUUCUUGUAUUUCGUUAAAAGCACUACGUAGCCUUGCAAAAAGAUGAUGAGUUUGAAUAUACAAUGUUAACAAGAUGAGAAUGUAUUUCAGGUAGGGUAGUCAAUAAAACGAGGUAGAGGGAAGACAUUUGUGCAGGGCUUGACACCGUGGAGUGAGUAAUGUGAUUUAGGACGGUUUAAUCUGUUAUUUAAAUGUAUCAAAACAUGCCUUGGACCAAACUUGUACAUGUUACCUACAGAAUACCAGUUAGGUCCGAAUGAAUCUGAAUAAACCUGGAAGGUUUCAAAAAUCAUGUACAAGAACUAAUCCCUAUGCUCUUUGCAAAAAGCUAGUGCCCUUAAGCAACAAAAAUCCUUACUACAAGUUAAAUUCAGCAAAAGUUAUGAAUAAACAUCUUAACAUCAAAAGAAAAGAUCUAAGACCCUAUAAAAUUACAAAGUUAAUACAACGAAACAGAGGACAUAAACUACAAUAGCUUUCAAUUCACAUGUGCAGCCUACAAAGAAAUAUCAGCGUUUGACGCCUAAAAGUGAGGCCAAGUAUCAAAUACUGUCCCACGUGUGGUCUCUACCCUCACCCCUAGCUCUCUCAAAGGUUAUGUUAUUGUUUUUCGUCACAACAUAAACCUCAUGAACCCAUCAUUUAUUUACUUUUUACCUCAUCUCAUAUCAACAUCUCAUCUGACACUUCAUAUUUAUCUCAUAGAAACAUUGUGAAACCGCGAAUACUAUUCCCAAAAUAUUACGUACAGUUAAUUCGCAACCCCAAACUACACUGAGAUGUGAAAGAAAGAGGUCCUGAGAAUACUUCUGAUUACUAAUAUGGAGUUGUGAUGCAGGGAGAAGCAAGAGAUAGUGUGAGAGUGAAUAGGGUGGGCUGGAGAGUGUUGAGAGAUUAUAGAAAACAGAAGGAUUUUAGAAGAAACAGGAGUUUCUUAGCUGAAGAAAGGAGAAAUAGAACAGGAGAGGUUAGGGGAGAGGAUACAAGGCCAAGCCUUUAAUAAGAUAAACUCUUAUUUCAUUCCAAUCUGCCUUUGGAUUACAUUAGACCAUCUCCCAUCAUAGGCUAAAAAGCCAAAUUUAGCCUAUAGUUACUCCCAUCAUAAGCCAAAUUACAAUUCUUAAGGCAAAAAAUUUAGCUUGAGCUAUUUUGUAAGCCAAAUUUGGCUUAUGGGUUGGUAGGCUAAAACUAAGUAUUAUUUUAGUCAACUUUAGAUAUUAUUCUUCUAAUUUAUACUAGCAUCUAAAUUAAAAUUCGUUACCAACAAAAUUUUAUACCAUCGCGACAAUCUCGACGAGAUCUUUCAUAUGAGCCCCAUAUUAAAUAUAUUUAUAUAAAAUCUUUUUCAUGGUUAAUUAUUGAAUUAAAAAAUAUAUAACACAAGAAAAAAAAAUGGCUUUACCUUAGGAUUUGGCUUACAGUGGGAGUGUUUCGUAAGCCAAAAUACUCUUAAUUUGGCCAAGGGUUUAGUGGGAGAAUUUGGUAAGCUAAAAAAAAUUCUAUAGAAUAUUCUUGUUUUGUAAGCUAAAUUUGGCUUGAAAUUUGGCUUACGGUGGGAGCCAUAUUUAUAGGCUUCAAAUAAAACCCUUAGACUCCUAGAAUACUAUAAGACUAAUAUAACUUAUUAAUAAUAAGACUCUUAAAUACUUAAGACUUAAUAAAUAGACAUAAAGACACACUCAAGACUUUUUAAAACACUAGACUCGUAAUUAUUCUUUUCAUAACUGAAAAUAAAUUUUGUAACUGAAAAUAAAUACCAAGCAGACUUUUCCUUUGGACCAAAAAGGGUUGGGCUUAGUCUUUGGCUUCCAAAGAGGAUAUUUCUGUUCCAGCCAGCUUAUGGCUACUCCAUUAAGUUGCAAUGCCCGUAAAUUAUUUUCAAAUCAUAUUGUCAUCAAAUUAUAGCUAUGCAGUUGACAGCUGAAAUUUAUGAUUCUAAAGCACAUUUGUGUGUUACAUAUGUAUAUAUAAUUAUAUAUUAACCAAAAUUUCCUAAAAGUUUAUAUAUAAGUAAAUUUUGGAUUCGUACUGAAUUGGAAGUCACUUCUAUUAAUUCACAUGCUUUAAUAUAGAUAUCAAAAUAGGUUCACAUUACAUCAUUAUCGGUACACAUAGAUAUAAGCUCAUAAAUAAGGCGCCCUUAGACAUACUUAUAAGCUCAUCAAUAUAGGCUUGUCCACAUAAUAUAUUGAACGUUCAUUAAGAGUUCAUAAUUAAGUGGGCUUAUAUAGACACCUAAAUUUAAGUGAGUGUUUGUAGAAAAUUAUUUAGAUAUAGAUGGUCUCUGAAAUGGCAUAUCAAUUUGUUAACCGUGUUAAAAGAAUUAUUGUAGUUUAUUAUGACUAGCAAACUGAAUGACAUUUUGUCAUAUUGUGCUUGCAGCGUAACUAUCCAUUUUUCAUCUUGUUUAUUUCAUCAUCAACCUUGCUCUGCAUCUAUGUCUUUGUGUUUUCCUGGAUCAACCUUCUUCACCAACAUGGCAACUUAUGGAAGGCCAUGUCACGCGAUGUCGUCUCAGUAAUCUUGAUAGUAUAUUGCUUCAUAGCAGUCUGGUUUGUCGGGGGGCUUACAGUUUUUCAUGUCUAUCUAAUAUGCACCAACCAGGUACCAUUUUGCUAUUGUUCAUAUUUGCGUUAUUCAUGUGUUGAUAAAGGAAUCUUCUUGUGUGCAUAAAAUAAUUGAGCUUAGGGAGAUUUACACCAGAAUAGAUGUCAUAUAUGCUUUGAGUUUCCUUCUUUUCAUUUUGAUUGGAAGAACUUUUUGCGUUAUAUUUGCAAAAAUGUAUGUUCAAUGAAUUUACCAGCUGGCUUUAGAUAAUUGAACCACGUGGAAAAAGAAAAAGGUAUGAUCGAUCAUGUAUCUGAGUAGAUAGCUUAAAUUUUUUUGGACUGUAGCUUAAUUCCAUUACAGAUACAAAAGAAAAAUGAUAAUGAUAUAUCCUUGGUAGGAGACUUGGAAGCGACAUAGUUCAUAAAAGCAACUUGGUCUAUCUGGACAUUAGACAUAGUACUAAUGUGCCACAUCAUUUUAUAUUAUACUGUAUAAUAUAUUGAUUCAAGCUGAUGAAUUCUGGGAAUUCUGGUUAUCUCCUGAGCUAAAUGAAUAUACUGAUGAGCUAGUCAUAAUUUUGGCUGUUCCAGUUUGAGAAAACAUAGAGCUCGGUCAUGGAAAUUUUAGACAAUAUGAAUCCCACAUGUGUGUGUGUGUGUGUGUGUGUGUGUGUGAUACAUAUAAUCCUCUUUGUUGUGUGUGUGAAUGUGUGUGUGCGUGUGUGUAGUGAUACAUCCAAUCCUCUUUGUUCUCAUUUACCACCAGUCCCUUUGGGAAAGACCGUUUGUUCUACUUAUUAGGGUAAAGUCACAGUUCCACCUUUCUAAUUAUAAUUCAUUUAUAUUAUAUUUUUGAAACUAGAUGACAAACUUUUAUUAAAUAGGAAUAAACUUCUUAACAGUACAUCAUAAACAAAAUAAAAAGUUACAGAAUUAAAGAAAUUAAAGAAUUCUAAAAAGAGAGCCACAGUAAUACCGAAACCUAGAAAGUAAAAUUUAAAAUAACUGAAAAUAAAAAUAAAAUUAAGGAAGCCCUAAGGCCUAAGCCUAUGCCCAAAACAAGGUCCAGCUUAGACCCAGACACCAAUCUCCUCCUGAGACCCGAGAACUGUUCAAAAUUCGAGUCCGGAUCUCAAAUUUGGAUCCAAGGCCUUAGCCCAAAACCCGAUAAUGGAACCUUCUGGCUUGUUGAAACUCUUGGGCUGCGCGAUACAAUACUGAAUAGUGGUAAUCAAAGCCAUUAACGCUAUUAAAGCCAUUAACAUCGUUAAAGCCAUUAAAGCAAUUACAGCCGCAACAAGUAACGGCUGUAACGUCUCUCACCCUCCCUUUGAUCGCCAGCCCAACAGUCACCACCAAAUCAAGGAAACCCAGAUGCACCGCCGUCGCAACCUCAGACCGCCAAGAAGGUCCACUGCCACGAUCAACUACCUUCAUCCACAAUCAACAUGGGCUUGGAUCCUAGAUUCAUAUCCAUACCGUCCAAAUCGGCCUCUUGACAACACCGACUAACCACACCAAAUCACUUCCACCACACUAGUCGGUCUGUUGCGACACACCAUCUGCACCUCCAAUCUCCUGAAAUUGGACCAUGUUCGCUUCCAGAGCUAGGAGGAAAAUCUACUCGACCGAUUGACAAACUUGAUCCCUUGUUUAGAAAGCCUUAACGACAAUGAGGACAAGGUCCCCAGCUCCACCGACCUAUGUUGAUCAAGAGAGAGUUGAAUCAUAUCUUUUCUAGGCUCUACAUUCUAAGCUCUAGACGAGAGAGAGAGAGAGAGAGAGAGAGAGAGAGAGAGAGAGAGAGAGAGANAGANAGAGAGAGAAGAGAGAGNNNNNNNNNNNNNNNNNNNNGAGAGAGAGAGAGAUUUAUACUAUAUUUAAGAAAAAACUUCUUUUUACUUAAAUACGUCUUAUAUAUUAAAAUGCACUAUAGAAACCAAAUCAAUGUAAAUUAUAAUAAAUAAGUAAAGUCACUAAUAACGAAAUUAAAAAAUAGUAGAGCAAAAGUGGGAGGACCUCUAUAACGAGGACUAGUUGAUGAAUUUUCGGUUUAUGGUUAAAAAGACCCAUUUUUCAAUCAUAUUUUGGCAUCUCAUCCGUUCAGUUUUUAGGUCUAUACGAGUAGAUGAUUUAUACAAAUUUUCAACCAAAUUGGUGAUCGUUAAGGUAACAAACUAGAACAAAUUAAUGGACGAACCAGAUCUGUCAAACAUGAACCGUUCAAGUUCAUAAUGCCUUAACGAUUUUCAAUAUGGCUAAAAAAUUACAAAAAUGAUCUACUCAUAAAUACCUAUAAACUCAACGGUCAAGAUGUGGAUAUAAGAUCGAAAAAUCCUCAACUAGUCCUCAAUUUAAAGGUCCUCGUUAGAAGGGUUCCCAAGAAAAAGAUAUGCAUAACCGCCAACAAUUUUUGGAUACUUUCCCCCACUUCCAUCCAUGGCGGAUUAGCUGCCUAGCCUCCUCU
rnacentral:lncRNA from 1 species